GAUUCUGGCUCAGGACGAACGCUGGCGGCGUGCCUAACACAUGCAAGUCGAACGGACGAGGGGAGCUUGCUCCCCAAGUUAGUGGCGGACGGGUGAGUAACACGUGAGCAACCUGCCCUUCGGAGGGGGACAACAGCUGGAAACGGCUGCUAAUACCGCAUGACACAGCGGGGAGGCAUCUCCCUGCUGUCAAAGAUUUUAUCGCCGAAGGAUGGGCUCGCGUCUGAUUAGAUAGUUGGUGAGGUAACGGCCCACCAAGUCAACGAUCAGUAGCCGGACUGAGAGGUUGAACGGCCACAUUGGGACUGAGAUACGGCCCAGACUCCUACGGGAGGCAGCAGUGGGGAAUAUUGGGCAAAUGGGGCAACCCUGACCCAGCAACGCCGCGUGAAGGAAGAAGGCUUUCGGGUUGUAAACUUCUUUGACGAGGGACGAUAGUGACGGUACCUCGAAAACAAGCCACGGCUAACUACGUGCCAGCCGCCGC
rnacentral:rRNA from 1 species